rnacentral:rRNA from 1 species
UACAGAGGGUGCGAGCGUUAAUCGGAAUUACUGGGCGUAAAGCGCACGUAGUCGGCUUUGCAAGUCGGGUGUGAAAUCCCCGGGCUCAACCUGGGAACUGCAUCCGAGACUGCAUUGCUAGAGUAUGGGAGAGGGAAGCGGAAUUUCUGGUGUAGCGGUGAAAUGCGUAGAUAUCAGAAGGAACAUCAGUGGCGAAGGCGGCUUCCUGGACCAAUACUGACGAUCAGGUGCGAAAGCGUGGGGAGCAAACAGG